rnacentral:lncRNA from 1 species
AUGCAGUCUGGGAGGGCAGGAGCAGUGUUAGAAGCUUGCAGUGAUGAAAGGGAGUUGAGGUUCCUGAAGGAGUGUGAAAGUGUCAUUUGCUGCAAAAGGUUGGAAUUGUGGAUACCCUGCAUCCUGAACCCGCUGCAGACGGUCUGGAGUACCUGCAGGAGAGCAAAGGCAGAAGAACUGCAUUCGUACUUUGUGGGAGUGAAUUACAGCGAGGACUUCUACCUGCCGCAGCUAUACCCAGGUUAAUAUACCAGUGCACACCAACUGCUUAGGAAUACGUGACAACUCUGUUCUGGGUGCUGGACUGAGAACACCAAACUCGUUUCAUGAGUGAAAGCUUUCAGAAGAACAGUUCUCGGUAAAGGAGAGAAUUUCAAACACCUUCAUAAAUGCAGCGUGGGAUGUUUGUAUCAGCCAACUUUCUAAAUUUUCCUUUUCCUGCCAGAAAUUUUCUUUUCUAAAAAUAUUUGACUUUGCUGUCUAAUCUAGAGAUGGAUAAUAUAGUGCUGAUUUUAAAAAUCUGACUGGUGCAGGAUAUAAGAAUGACUUCUAAAACAGUGCCUGAGUCGCUUUGGAACACAUUUUAUAACCAAAUGCACUGUUCAGGGCAUGGUGUGGUUUCUGCACAACCCCCUGCUUCCCCCCAGUUACCAUUACUGCCUUCCUAAUCUGCUAGAGCAUUUAGUGCCCUCCUCUUAUCCUAAGAAAAAUACAAUUGCUGGCUCUGAUAUUCAUUAAGUGAUAAUCCAGAUUAAUUCAGACUUUGAUGGAGAAUCAGGUCCUAUUUCAGCCACAAAGAAAUUCACAUUGCCCCACAGAAAAUGCAUGCGUGCACACACGUGCACAUAUACACGCUCAGGCAGUAUGUAGAAUGCCUUAAAGAAACUGUAGCUAACCACCUUAUUAGUAUUCCUCCCUCCUCUGUGUUUCACUUGCAGCAACAGAGGGCUGAGCAAAAUGCAGUAGAACAGGGACAGAGACAGAGCUGGCAAUCAUCUCAGUGCAGGCUGCUGAAUGUAGGGGGUGGGGGGGAUGCAGCAAAGCAAGAUUAAUAACCUUGCCAUAAUCCUGUGCACCCUGGAAGGAGAUACCUCUGGUGACUGAGCUGUUCUUGUCUUGAUUAAUUGGACUGAGCGAAUGAGUGGCUGGCAAUCCACCUGGUUUGGAGGCGACCCCCUGGUUUUGCUGCUCUCUGAAUCCUCUACCCAUCUGGGAAGGUAACAGUGAGACGUACCAUCUGCAGCACACACAGCAGCUAUUGGAGGCUACUACUGACAGUUUGCACUACAGUUUUUUGGUGAGCAAGAAGCCAGGUAUAUUGUGCAGUAGGAUAUUUCUGUGCUCAAGCUACUGAAUUUUUGCAAUCUGGUCCUUCAGCAACCCCCUACGUGCCCUCUUCCAAUUGCCUUUGAGUUCUGGGCUUACUUUUGGCAUAGUCUCCUGGACGCAUUUUGCUGGGGAUGGAAGAGCAGUAAAUGGAACCUCUGAAAACUAAUUGUUUUGCUUCUGUGUGACUCGAGAGAGAGAAAAGCAAGAAGAAUCAAGUGCAGCUAGAGGAAUUUACAUUUCUUUUGGAGAAGUUUGCAGAGGGACCAUAAAAAAAAGGUAAAUCCAGGGGUUUGCCUACCCCUUCUGUCUCCUAGCCUGAUUGUGCUUGUUUGUUUGGGCUUGAAAAACAGAUGAAACACAAGUAGCAGGUGGCAUGUAGUGUGGUGUUUGUAAAUUCUGUGCUUAUGAUUUGUAUCCUCUUUUUGUUUUCUUAUCCUUUUUCUUUUCCCUGCUGUUUGCACAGCAAAAAUGCUUGCAGAAUAAUGAUAGUAGUGCUGGAAAACAUUACUUGAAUAGCACUAGAAAGCUCCUUUCAUUUCAAAGGUAUUAGAAUUUAUUGGGAGGUUUUUUGUUAUCAUCAAACCAGCUUAAAAUAUUUGGAAAGGAUCUAGAAUAGGCAAGAAAUAAAGCUCAUGUAAUGUGGUCA